rnacentral:rRNA from 1 species
GAUGAACGCUGACAGAAUGCUUAACACAUGCAAGUCGAUGGGGAAGUGGUGCUUGCACCAUGGCAACCAUGGCGGACGGGUGAGUAACGCGUAAGGGACUUACCUGCAGGACUGGGAUAACAGGGGGAAACUCCUGACAAGACCGGAUAAUGUCAUGGAGCUGCAUGGCUUUAUGAUGAAAGGAGACGCCUGCGGAGAGCCUUGCGUCCUAUUAGCUAGUUGGUGAGGUAAUGGCUCACCAAGGCGAAGAUAGGUAGCCGGCCUGAGAGGGUGGACAGCCACAAGGGGACUGAGAUACGGCCCUUACUCCUACGGGAGGCAGCAGUGGGGAAUAUUGGACAAUGGGGGCAACCCUGAUCCGGCAAUUCUGUGUGCACGAAGAAGGUUUUCGGAUUGUAAAGUGCUUUCAGCAGGGAAGAAGUAAGUGACGGUACCUGCAGAAGAAGCGACGGCUAAAUACGUG